rnacentral:rRNA from 1 species
AUCUACGGCCAUACCACCCUGAACACACCCGAUCUCAUCUGAUCUCGGAAGCUAAGCAGGGUCAGGCCUCGUUAGUACUUGGAUGGGAGAAGUCAAUCUAAAAAGACUACAAACUGUAUGAUU